UUUUUUUUUUUUUUUUUUUUUUUGCCUUUUCUAGGGCCACUCCCGAGGCACAUGGAGGUUCCCAGGUGUGGCCCUAAAAAGACCAAAAAAAGUGAUAAAAUAUACAUAACAUAAAAUUUACCAUUUUCACCAUUUUUAAGUGGACACACGGCUUCUUCCCACUUUGCGGCUGUUGCUAGUUAAGCUGUGUCACGAUACAUUUUCUUUAAUACCCAGUUCCCAGAGCGGGAAAAGACACGCUAAGUACAUCCUGGACACCAGGCCCUCGAUCCUCUCACAGGGAAAGUUACCGCGGUUGCGAAUCCGCAAUAUCCGUCUCAUGCUCUGAUACUCUUUUCUGGGGUGGGGGCGGGGGUCCCUGUAAAAGGCACAGGCAGCAACAGCAGAAUACUGUAAAUGGCCAGCUUGCAAAGAACGUUCUGGAAAGAAGACCACGUCACACAAACGUGGGUUUUUCUCACUGCUGGUUUACAGCAGGGAUGGCCGACGUGCCGCCAGCGGGCCCAAUCCAGCCCACCACCCAUGUGGUCCGGGAGGUUUCACUGGCACACGCCUGCACCCGUCCGUCCUACGUACCCUCUGGGGAGGUUUGCAUGCUCCAAGGGCAAGGUCGGGUCCUUUCCACAGAAACUAGACGGCUCGCAGAGUCUAAAGCAUUUGUUCUUCGGACCUUUCCAGAAAAAGACCGUCGACUUUUCAAUGAUUAAGAGAAAUCAUAACACAAUCCUUUAAGAUUUUCCGGGCGUGGGGGACUCAGGGCGGGGGUGGGGGGGAGCACAGGAGCAGGAUGUCUUUCCGCAUCUCAGAAGCAGCUGAAGUCCUCGGCCUCUCCUGCAUCCACCCAGCAACAACCGGUGCGUCCUGUGUCACCUGCCUGUCCCUGUUCACACCACCUCGUGGGCGACAGGUUUUCGUGCAAGGACUUCUCGUGCAACCGUGAAAUUUCAUUCACAACCUCACUGCUGGAGGACCGGGCACCCGGAAGGUCAGAGGCCGGCCAAGACAGUACUUGUGCCCUAGGGCUGCUGCAGGGAGCGACCGCAGAGCCCAGGGGGGCCCCAGAGAGGACCCCUCCAGCCUCUUCCUAGUGCCCAGCAGUGCUGGUCAGUCCUCGGCUCGUGGCCCCAUCACUCGCACCCCUGCUCUGUCCUCACACGGCCUCCUGUCCUCCUGCGACUGCCUCUCCCCUCCUCUAAGGGCCCAGUCAUAGUGGGUGGGGGCCCCUCCUACUCCAGGGGGGCCUCAUCUUCACUUACAUCUUGGUUUUUUGGCCACGCACACAGCUUUCUAAAGUUCCUGGGCCAGGGCUCGAACCUGCGCCACAGCAGGAACCAGAGCCACGGCGGUGCCAAUGCUGAGUCCUUAACUACUAGGCCACCAGGGAACGCCUUAACUUACAUCUUUUUUUAAUUUGAUGAAUUCUAUUAUAUUCAUAGUUGCACAACCAUCAUCAGAACCUAAUUUGGAGACAUUUCCAUCUGCAAGGACCCUACUUCCUAAAACUGUCACCUUCGCAGGCCCCAGGGAUUAGGACCUGAACGGCUCCUUUGGGGUCACACGCUUCAGCCCAUGACAGAAUCUUCACUCACGUUCCGUUCCAGGCCCUCUCGGUCCGCUGGUCAACGGUCACAUGAGCAAAGUGCAUCCCGGCCUGAGCCUCCCUGGGUUAGGGCAGCACAGACUCUCCACAGGGCCCCUGCCAUCAAGAGGGGACGCGGGUGGCGGCCACUCUCCCGUCCUGGCUAUGGUGAAGCUGGACACUCGCCCGGCCCUGCCCACUCACUACCUUCACCUGCUCACGUGCUCACCGACCUGGCACCUGUCAAGGCUGGGCCCAUACGGCUUCCUGAGCGGCCACACGCCCGGAGCUGGAGUCACAGGCUAUAUCCGGCUCCAGCGUGACCAGCAGAACAUUCUCCACUUCGUUAUUCAUCCCCCAGCACCUCUCAACAGCCCCAGUGACUCUCUCUUGCUAAGAAUUAGAUUUCUUUUGGGAGUUCCCAUUGUGGCUCAGCAGUAAUGAACCUAAGUAGUAUCCAUGAGGAUUCGGGUUCGAUCCCUGGCCUCGCUCGAUGGGUUAGGGAUCUGGUGUUGCUGUGAGCUGUGGUGUAGGUUGCAGACGUGGCUCAGAUCUGGCAUGGCUGCGGCUGUGGUGUAGUCCGGCAGCUGCAGCGGAUUCCACCCCUAGCCUGGGAACCUCCAUAUGCCGCAGCACGGCCCUAAAAAGCAAAAAAAAAAAAAAAACUAGCUCUUUUGCAGCAGGGCAUUUGCAGCCACCAAGCGCACCUUUGAUUACAGGGCUCCUGUCAAAAGAGACCUUUUCGACCAUCAGAAGGACGCUCAUAGAGAACGUGGCACCAAAGACCCCUGCUUCCCCCUCUGUGGCUGUUUCUCAGGGGCGUGACUGCACAGAUUAGACAGAUCCCC
ensembl:lncRNA